UGGGAGGAGAAGUCGCUCGAGCGGGGAAGCGGCGGCCGUUAGGAAAAUGGCGCCGUGCGGCCCGGGGCAGACCCCCGUCACUGGUCACCGCCGCCUUCCUGGUGCAGCUGCUGUGUCACGGCCACACCGGCCGGCUGUACAGCAGGCAGGAGCCGGUGACCAUUCUGGAGGCGGAUGGGGUUAAGGACCUGUUUGGGAACUGGUCGGCCGCCUGGGUGGUGGAGUUCUACUGGUCGUGGGGCGGCCCCUGUGUCAACUAUGGGGCCACCUGGAAGGUACUGGGCCCGGGAGGUGAAAGACUUCCAAAGAGUACAAUCUCUGGGACCAAGAUAGGCUGACAGGUCUGAGUCCACAAGGGACUCCCUCGGCUGUCUCGUAUCUGUACUUUAUCAAUUUGGCGCUGCAAGCAGGGUUCCAACAAGGGCUACAUUUGACUGAAACUGGAAAAGAAGAGUUCCAUCUAAGGGUUGGACUCAAGACCAAUGGACCCACAAGAUGUGAUCAACAAAACGGGUCAAGAUGCAGGGAAGAUACCUGCCCAACUGUUGCCUGAUUCGUGUGGAUGGAAGUUUACUUGCUGGCUAUGAUCGCUGUGUGGAUGGAUCGUGUGGGAUGUACUGAUAGUCCUUGGACUCAUCCUAGGAAUACACACUGUCGUCUGCUUAUGCGUGAAAUAGACUGUGCAUUGUUUUUCACCUAAGCCAAAGAGCAUCUGGUUAAUUGACCCUUGUCUACCCCUCUAACUCUGUGCCUGAACUUCCAUGCUGAAAUCCUGUAUCUUUCAGACUCUGCUCCUCUGGACGAUGACCUGGCAGAGGAGGCACUUGACUUAUUUGAAAAUAUACAUUGACUGGAUGGACUAAUAAUUUCCUAUUCCUAUUCCUUGGAUGCUGCCUGACCUGCUGUGCUUUAACCAGCAACACAUUUUCAACUGCGAUCUCCAGCAUCUGCAGACCUAAUUUUUUACCCUAAUAAUAAUUAUAAGCCAAGUAGUUGUCAUGAAAUAA